rnacentral:rRNA from 1 species
GCUGAAAGCAUCUAAGCGUGAAGCCCCCCUCAAGAUGAGAUUUCCCAAUACGUAAGACCCCUUGAAGACCACGAGGUAGAUAGGUUGGAGGUGGAAGUGCAGCAAUGCAUGGAGCUGACCAAUACUAAUCGGUCGAGGGCUUAUCCUA